rnacentral:rRNA from 1 species
ACGGGAGGCAGCAGUAGGGAAUCUUCCGCAAUGGACGAAAGUCUGACGGAGCAACGCCGCGUGAGUGAUGAAGGUUUUCGGAUCGUAAAGCUCUGUUGUUAGGGAAGAACAAGUGCAAGAGUAACUGCUUGCACCUUGACGGUACCUAACCAGAAAGCCACGGCUAACUACGUGCCAGCAGCCGCGGUAAUACGUAGGUGGCAAGCGUUGUCCGGAAUUAUUGGGCGUAAAGGGCUCGCAGGCGGUUUCUUAAGUCUGAUGUGAAAGCCCCCGGCUCAACCGGGGAGGGUCAUUGGAAACUGGGAAACUUGAGUGCAGAAGAGGAGAGUGGAAUUCCACGUGUAGCGGUGAAAUGCGUAGAGAUGUGGAGGAACACCAGUGGCGAAGGCGACUCUCUGGUCUGUAACUGACGCUGAGGAGCGAAAGCGUGGGGAGCGAACAGGAUUAGAUACCCUGGUAGUCCACGCCGUAAACGAUGAGUGCUAAGUGUUAGGGGGUUUCCGCCCCUUAGUGCUGCAGCUAACGCAUUAAGCACUCCGCCUGGGGAGUACGGUCGCAAGACUGAAACUCAAAGGAAUUGACGGGGGCCCGCACAAGCGGUGGAGCAUGUGGUUUAAUUCGAAGCAACGCGAAGAACCUUACCAGGUCUUGACAUCCUCUGACAACCCUAGAGAUAGGGCUUUCCCUUCGGGGACAGAGUGACAGGUGGUGCAUGGUUGUCGUCAGCUCGUGUCGUGAGAUGUUGGGUUAAGUCCCGCAACGAGCGCAACCCUUGAUCUUAGUUGCCAGCAUUCAGUUGGGCACUCUAAGGUGACUGCCGGUGACAAACCGGAGGAAGGUGGGGAUGACGUCAAAUCAUCAUGCCCCUUAUGACCUGGGCUACACACGUGCUACAAUGGACAGAACAAAGGGCUGCGAGACCGCAAGGUUUAGCCAAUCCCACAAAUCUGUUCUCAGUUCGGAUCGCAGUCUGCAACUCGACUGCGUGAAGCUGGAAUCGC